GGUUAAGCGAAUAAGCGUACACGGUGGAUGCCUAGGCAAUCAGAGGCGAUGAAGGACGUGCUAAUCUGCGAUAAGCGUCGGUAAGGUGAUAUGAACCGUUAUAACCGACGAUUUCCGAAUGGGGAAACCCAAUAUCCAAUGGAUAUUAUCAUGACGUGAAUACAUAGCGUCAUGAAGCGAACCGGGAGAACUGAAACAUCUCAGUACCCCGAGGAAAAGAAAUCAACCGAGAUUCCCCUAGUAGCGGCGAGCGAACGGGGAACAGCCCAGAGUCUUAAUCAAUGGCAGCAUCAGGAGAACGGUCUGGAAAGUCCGGCAGUAAAGGGUGAUAGCCCCGUAUCUGAAGAUGCUGUUAUUGUGAACUCGACGAGUAGGGCGGGACACGUGUUAUCCUGUCUGAAUAUGGGGGGACCAUCCUCCAAGGCUAAAUACUCCUGAUUGACCGAUAGUGAACCAGUACCGUGAGGGAAAGGCGAAAAGAACCCCGGCGAGGGGAGUGAAAAAGAACCUGAAACCGUGUACGUACAAGCAGUAGGAGCCCCAUCACUCAAGUGCCUUGCACUGAGUGAUUGGACAAACCACUCGAAAACAGCGAAGCGUUUACCUACAAAAUGGGUUGAUUAUUUCAAGCCGUCGCGCAGUGUACAUAGAAGUACACGAGCAACGGAAGUUAAAAAAUCGAGCCAGUUUGACAGUAAAAGCAAGCGGGACAUUUGAGGAUGGGGUGACUGCGUACCUUUUGUAUAAUGGGUCAGCGACUUAUAUUCUGUAGCAAGGUUAACCGUAUAGGGGAGCCGUAGGGAAACCGAGUCUUAACUGGGCGAAUGAGUUGCAGGGUAUAGACCCGAAACCCGGUGAUCUAUCCAUGGGCAGGUUGAAGGUUGGGUAACACUAACUGGAGGACCGAACCGACUAAUGUUGAAAAAUUAGCGGAUGACUUGUGGAUGGGGGUGAAAGGCCAAUCAAACCGGGAGAUAGCUGGUUCUCCCCGAAAGCUAUUUAGGUAGCGCCUCGUGAACUCAUCUUCGGGGGUAGAGCACUGUUUCGACUAGGGGGUCAUCCCGACUUACCAACUCGAUGCAAACUGCGAAUACCGAAGAAUGUUAUCACGGGAGACACACGGCGGGUGCUAACGUCCGUCGUGAAGAGGGAAACAACCCAGACCGCCAGCUAAGGUCCCAAAGUCAUGGUUAAGUGGGAAACGAAGUGGGAAGGCUCAGACAGCCAGGAUGUUGGCUUAGAAGCAGCCAUCAUUUAAAGAAAGCGUAAUAGCUCACUGGUCGAGUCGGCCCGCGCGGAAGAUGUAACGGGGCUAAACCAUGCACCGAAGCUGCGGCAGCAAUACUAUGUAUUGUUGGGUAGGGGAGCGUUCUGUAAGCCUGCGAAGGUGUACUGUGAGGUAUGCUGGAGGUAUCAGAAGUGCGAAUGCUGACAUAAGUAACGAUAAUGCGGGUGAAAAACCCGCACGCCGGAAGACCAAGGGUUCCUGUCCAACGUUAAUCGGGGCAGGGUGAGUCGACCCCUAAGGCGAGGCUGAAAAGCGUAGUCGAUGGGAAACGGGUUAAUAUUCCCGUACUGGUGGUAACUGCGAUGGGGGAACGGAGAAGGCUAGGUUGUCCGGGCGACGGUCGUCCCGGUUCAAGCAUGUAGGCAGAGUGAUUAGGCAAAUCCGGUCACUUAAUGCUGAGGUGUGAUGACGAACCACUAAGGUGGUGAAGCAAUUGAUGCCCUGCUUCCAGGAAAAGCCUCUAAGCUUCAGGUUACCAACAAUCGUACCCCAAACCGACACAGGUGGUCAGGUAGAGAAUACUCAGGCGCUUGAGAGAACUCGGGUGAAGGAACUAGGCAAAAUGGUGCCGUAACUUCGGGAGAAGGCACGCUGGCGGUAAGUGAAGUCCCUUGCGGACGGAGCCGAAGCCAGUCGAAGAUACCAGCUGGCUGCAACUGUUUAUUAAAAACACAGCACUGUGCAAACACGAAAGUGGACGUAUACGGUGUGACGCCUGCCCGGUGCUGGAAGGUUAAUUGAUGGGGUUAUCCUUAGGGAGAAGCUCUUGAUCGAAGCCCCAGUAAACGGCGGCCGUAACUAUAACGGUCCUAAGGUAGCGAAAUUCCUUGUCGGGUAAGUUCCGACCUGCACGAAUGGCGUAAUGAUGGCCAGGCUGUCUCCACCCGAGACUCAGUGAAAUUGAACUCGCUGUGAAGAUGCAGUGUACCCGCGGCAAGACGGAAAGACCCCGUGAACCUUUACUAUAGCUUGACACUGAACAUUGAGCCUUGAUGUGUAGGAUAGGUGGGAGACUAUGAAAUGUGGACGCCAGUCUGCAUGGAGUCAACCUUGAAAUACCACCCUUUAACGUUUGAUGUUCUAACCUAGGUCCAUAAUCUGGAUCGGGGACCGUGUCUGGUGGGUAGUUUGACUGGGGCGGUCUCCUCCUAAAGAGUAACGGAGGAGCACGAAGGUUGGCUAAGCAUGGUCGGACAUCAUGCGGUUAGUGCAAAGGCAUAAGCCAGCUUGACUGUGAGAGUGACGGCUCGAGCAGGUACGAAAGUAGGUCUUAGUGAUCCGGUGGUUCUGAAUGGAAGGGCCAUCGCUCAACGGAUAAAAGGUACUCCGGGGAUAACAGGCUGAUACCGCCCAAGAGUUCAUAUCGACGGCGGUGUUUGGCACCUCGAUGUCGGCUCAUCACAUCCUGGGGCUGAAGUAGGUCCCAAGGGUAUGGCUGUUCGCCAUUUAAAGUGGUACGCGAGCUGGGUUUAGAACGUCGUGAGACAGUUCGGUCCCUAUCUGCCGUGGGCGUUGGAAGAUUGAGAGGGGUUGCUCCUAGUACGAGAGGACCGGAGUGAACGCACCACUGGUGUUCGGGUUGUCAUGCCAAUGGCAUUGCCCGGUAGCUAAGUGCGGAAGAGAUAACCGCUGAAAGCAUCUAAGCGGGAAACUUGCCUCGAGAUGAGUCUUCCCUGUCACCUUGAGUGACCUAAAGGAACGUUUAAGACUAAGACGUUGAUAGGCUGGGUGUGUAAGCGUAGCGAUACGUUGAGCUAACCAGUACUAAUGAACCGUGAGGCUUAACCUG
rnacentral:rRNA from 1 species